rnacentral:lncRNA from 1 species
CAGAGAAAACAUGCUUAGGUCCUAACCAAGAUUGGAAAGAAAAAGACAGCAAAGAAGAGAAGGGGGAAGCUAAACCUCAGAAAACUUCAGAAAAAAAAAAAACUGGCUGACUCAGCAGAACUUCGAGGCUGCCCCUCCUUAGGUGACCACGGUGUGGGCAUGGUUUUAGGAAAAGCAAAGUACAUUAUCUCAUUAAGGGAGCAUUAUUCCAUCCUUCUUCUUAGCUGGUCUGUCAGAGGCGUGGUCUUUCUGACCAGCUGACUGACAGGCCCAACCGGAUCAACCCUGAAGGAAGGAAACUCUAGUCUGAAAAGCUCUAAUCUUUGGAGUGCAUCAAAGUAUAAUGUCUCCACCCAGGGCCAGAGGUGCUCUAUCCUUUUGAACAAACUUUUAAGGAGUGGAAAAGCUGAAACCUAACUAGGGAAACGGGAAGCGGGACCCAGAGCUUCGGUGGCCUUGAAGAACUCGAUCCUGGGAUGUGCUGAGAUCUCCACUGGUGCCUACAAAGAAACACAAAUUCAUCAUAUCACAGUUGCAGCUGGCUUACAAAACCAGAGAUGCUGUUUCUCCAUCUUCUAAGGACCCCUAUGCUCAAGGCUGAGAACAACUGAGACUCCAAGGUCAUGUGACUUAGGAUUAUACUACUAAUUAUAGGCUGGAGACUGAGUUCAGACAUGCUCAUCAAUGCCUGGACCCUGCUUCCCAAGCUUCUCUGCGUCUGUGGGAAUUAUUGAGACCCUGCCUUAGCUCUUGCCAAGACCUGUGGGUGCAGAGCAGGGGACAGGGUGGAUUAUUCUGCUCUUUGAAAUGUCUAUUGGGUCAAACCUAUCUGGAAACUCAGAAGCCAAGCCAGGGAGUUUUGAACAUGGGGGUUAUAACAGUAUGGUGGGUAGGGAGGCAGCCAAUCGUCCAGCAUCUGGAAUGAAGCCACACCACACUCUUCCCUGUGCCCCCAGCCCUCAGGCUUGGAAGAGCUCCCUGCCCCACUCCCUCCCUUCCUCCCUUCCUUCCUCUGUCCCCUCCACUAAUGAAUGCUAUCACCUCUCCUGCCUCCCUUCUUAUACCAAAAAUCUCAUCUCCUCCUAGACCUAUAUACUAUAGAAACAAAACAAACAAGCAACAAUAAAACC